UAGUGAAAGAAGAGUCUGAGUCUAAGUCUAGUGAUUGUAAAACCAAUUUAAGUAAUAAUCAGCUGUGUUCCCUAAAAAUGUCAGUUCCUGUAGUCUGCAAGAUUCCUGUUGAGAGGAGUUACUGCUUGAGAAGCAUGACAGAGAAAUCUGGGUCUUUGCUUUCAGUGGGAUUUUUUUUUCUUAUAAUCUGCCACGUCAACACUGAGGACACAAGAGAAAACUCAGAGUUUGGAAGGAAGAGUUAGCAUUUUGGCAAGUGCAUGUGAGUCUUGCUAUCUAUUGUGUCAUGAGACACUAACAGCAACAUAAUCUGAAAAACAAAACAAAAAAAUUGAAUUUUCUCUGCUGUGUUUCCAAAUGAUUCAGGUUGCAGUUGCUGAUGGUGUUAAUAGGUUAGUUAUUUUCCACACUAAGAUCUUUAAUAAUCUGCAUUAGGCUCCAGGAGAUGAACUCAACCUGAUGUGAUAGAAAUUUUUAUAUAGAAAACAGCUAUGAAACCACAGUCUAUGCACUUUAUGGGAAAUGAGCCUUAUAAACAAAGGGAGGCAGUGGAGCAAAGGGAUUGAAUUUAUUUUUCUGUGCUGUAAUUUGCCAGACUGCAUCAGUUCAGCUUGUCUCAAGUCAUUGCACUGAGACAAGUAAAUAGGUAAGUAAAGAGAGAAAACUUGCAGAUACAUUAGUCUUUCUGAAGAAAUGUAAGCGAUUCUACCUUGAAAGUGGGACUGUACAUCAGUAAAGAGAAUCACUAUGAUCAAAAGUUUUCCGAGAUUUUCAGACCACAUGAUCCAAGUACCUUCUGUUUUCAGAUGAUUCAUCUUAAUACUUGAGGAUUAUUUUUUGACAUCUCAGCGCUCCAGAGCUGCAGCUUUUCACUGCAGUGCAGAGAGGCUGCUCCAGCUGGCUCCCUACCAGAGGGGGAAAAAGGAACAGGAGACAUACAAAUUGGAGUGAAGACUAAAAACAAUGCCCCGUCAUGGUGCUGUUCCACAGAGACUAGAACCUCUAGGGAAGAUUGCUUACGCUUACAAAUGAGACUGCUUUAAAAUGGACAAUGCCCUUUCUGCCCUGCCAGCAGCAUACAGAUGGAAUAACUGGACCUGGCUUCAGGAAUCUGUGUUUCUCCUGCAAGAGUUGAUGGCAUCACUGACAUCUAAAGCAGUGGUUCUCAACCAGAAAGUACACAUAAUCCUGGGGGUAUGCAGAGGUCUUCCAGGGGGUACUGUGAUGGGUUGGAUCACAGAAACCCCUUUGGGGCUGCCAACUGAUGUGCCAAGACUACUUCUGCCUCUGCUUUCCCUGCCAGCAUGGGACUCCAGAACCCUGCCUGGUUGUGCCAGACAUGCUUGCUGGCUACAAACACAGACCCAGGUCUGAACAACGUCUCACAAGGUGCAGGCUUAACUGAAAACAGCUUAAGAAGUGUUCCUGUCUCCACCACUCAGAUGCCCAACUCCCAAUGUGGUCCAAACCCCAAAUAAAUCCGUUUUACCCUAUAUAAAGCUUAUACAGGGUAAACUCAUAAAUUGUUUGCCCUCUAUAACACUGAUAGAGAGAGAUGCACAGCUGAUCUCCUCCCCCAGGUAUUAAUACAUACUCUGGGUUAAUGAAUAAGUAAAAAGUGAUUUUAUUAAAUACAAAAAGUAGGAUUUAAGUGGUUCCAAGUAAUAACAGACAGAACAAAGUGAAUUACCAAGCAAAAUAAAAUAAAACACACAAGCCUAUGCCUAAUACAGUAAGAAACUGAAUACAGAUAAAAUCUCACCCUCAGAGAUGUUCCAAUAAGCCUCUUUUACAGACUAGCCUUCUUCUAGUCUGGGUUCAGCAAUCACUCACACCCGUGUGGUUACUGUCCUUUGUUCCAGUUUCUUUUAGGUAUCCUUUGGGGAUGGAGAGGCUAUCUCUUGAGCCAACUGAAGACAAAAUGGAGGGGUCUCCCAGACAUUUAAAUAGACUUUCUCUUGUGGGUAGACACCCCUCCGUGUAGAAUCCCAGCUACAAGAUGGAGUUUGAGAGUCACAUGGGUGGCAAAUCUGUGGAAUGGUCCCAGACUGAGGAGUCAAUAGAGGAGGUAAAUUAAAUAGCAGCAAGUCACCAGGACCAGAUGGCAUUUACCCAAGAGUUUUGAAGGAACUCUUAUAUGAAUUUGCAGAACUACUAAUUGUGGUAUGUUUCAGAGUAGCAGCCAUGUUAGUCUGUAUUCGCAAAAAGAAAAGGAGUCCUUGUGGCACCUUAGAGACUAACAAAUUUAUUUGAGCAUAAGCUUUCGUGAGCUACAGCUCACUUCAUCGAAUGCAUUCAGUGGAAAAUACAGUGUGGAGAUUUAUAUACAUAGAGAACAUGAAACAAUGGGUGUUACCAUACACACUGUAACAAGAGAGUGAUCACUUAAGGGGAGCUAUUACCAGUAGGAGAGCUGGGGGGGAUGACGACGACGACGAACCUUUUGUAGUGAUAAUCAAGGUGGGCCAUUUCCAGCAGUUGACAAGAACGUCUGAGGAACAGUGGGGAGUGGAG